rnacentral:rRNA from 1 species
CCCGUUAAUGGGUGAUGGCGUGCCUUUUGUAGAAUGAACCGGCGAGUUACGAUUUGAUGCAAGGUUAAGCAGUAAAUGUGGAGCCGUAGCGAAAGCGAGUCUGAAUAGGGCGUUUAGUAUUUGGUCGUAGACCCGAAACCAGGUGAUCUACCCUUGGUCAGGUUGAAGUUCAGGUAACACUGAAUGGAGGACCGAACCGACUUACGUUGAAAAGUGAGCGGAUGAACUGAGGGUAGCGGAGAAAUUCCAAUCGAACCUGGAGAUAGCUGGUUCUCUCCGAAAUAGCUUUAGGGCUAGCCUCAAGUGAUGAUUAUUGGAGGUAGAGCACUGUUUGGACGAGGGGCCCCUCUCGGGUUACCGAAUUCAGACAAACUCCGAAUGCCAAUUAAUUUAACUUGGGAGUCAGAACAUGGGUGAUAAGGUCCGUGUUCGAAAGGGAAACAGCCCAGACCACCAGCUAAGGUCCCAAAAUAUAUGUUAAGUGGAAAAGGAUGUGGCGUUGCCCAGACAACUAGGAUGUUGGCUUAGAAGCAGCCAUCAUUUAAAGAGUGCGUAAUAGCUCACUAGUCGAGUGACACUGCGCCGAAAAUGUACCGGGGCUAAACAUAUUACCGAAGCUGUGGAUUGUCCUUUGGACAAUGGUAGGAGAGCGUUCUAAGGGCGUUGAAGCAUGAUCGUAAGGACAUGUGGAGCGCUUAGAAGUGAGAAUGCCGGUGUGAGUAGCGAAAGACGGGUGAGAAUCCCGUCCACCGAUUGACUAAGGUUUCCAGAGGAAGGCUCGUCCGCUCUGGGUUAGUCGGGUCCUAAGCUGAGGCCGACAGGCGUAGGCGAUGGAUAACAGGUUGAUAUUCCUGUACCACCUAUAAUCGUUUUAAUCGAUGGGGGGACGCAGUAGGAUAGGCGAAGCGUGCGAUUGGAUUGCACGUCUAAGCAGUAAGGCUGAGUAUUAGGCAAAUCCGGUACUCGUUAAGGCUGAGC